rnacentral:rRNA from 1 species
GACGAACGCUGGCGGCGUGCUUAACACAUGCAAGUCGAACGAAGUGGCGAACGGGUGAGUAAGACGUGGGUAACCUGCCCUCCUUUUUGGGCUAAGCCUUGGAAACGGGGUCUAAUACCGAAUAACGGGGGAUUGGGUCGCUGCCUAUCAGCGUGUUGGUGGGGUGAUGGCCUACCAAGGUGGUGACGGGUAGCCGGCCUGAGAGGGGGACCUGCAACAGUGGGACGGAGAUACGGCCCAGACUCCUACGGGAGGGAGCAGUGGGGGAUAUGUCACAAUGGGCGAAAGCCUGAUGCAGCGACGCCGCGUGGGGGAUGAAGGCUUUCGGGUUGUAAAACUCUUUCGCUAUAGAACGGGUAGGUGGAGAAGAAGCGCCGGCUAACUACGUGCCAGCAGCCGCGGUAAUAC